GGCUGCGUCCACCAUGGCCUGGGCCUCUGUGCUCUUCUUUGUCUUCACUCACUUCACAGGUUCCUUUGCCCAGCUUGUGCUAACUCAGCUACCUUCCCUCUCUGUAUCUCCUGGAGAAUCAGCCACAUUGACCUGCACCCUGAGCAGUGGAUACAGUGUUGGUAACUUUGGAAUACACUGGUAUCAGCAGAAGCCAGGGAGCUCUCCCUGGUUUCUCCUGUACUAUUAUACAAGUACAGAGUUAGGAUCUGGAGUCCCCAGUCGCUUCUCUGGAUCUAAAGAUUCUUACACCAAUGCAGGGGUUCUGCAUAUCUCUGCGCCGCAGCCUGAGGAUGAGGCUGACUACUACUGUAAUGUCUGGCAUAAGGGUUCUAAGCAUUACACAGUGAUGUGCACCCUUAUGGAAGUGAUACGAAAACCUCCUUUGCAUUUUCUAUGUCAAAUGAUUCUGCUUCACUGCCUGGGAACAUGUUGA